UGCCCAGCAACUCCUAUUCCUACCUCCUCACGGUACUGGCAGGGAUACGAGCAACCUUAGGGAAGAUCAGGUAACCCCGGUGGGAACUUUGGUCGUAUGCUGAUAGGGAAGG
rnacentral:ribozyme from 1 species